GAUGAACGCUGGCGGCGUGCUUAACACAUGCAAGUCGAACGGAAAGGCCCAAGCUUGCUUGGGUACUCGAGUGGCGAACGGGUGAGUAACACGUGGGUGAUCUGCCCCGCACUUCGGGAUAAGCCUGGGAAACUGGGUCUAAUACCGGAUAGGACAGUGGUUUGGAUGCCAUUGUGGAAAGUUUUUUCGGUGUGGGAUGAGCUCGCGGCCUAUCAGCUUGUUGGUGGGGUAAUGGCCUACCAAGGCGUCGACGGGUAGCCGGCCUGAGAGGGUGUACGGCCACAUUGGGACUGAGAUACGGCCCAGACUCCUACGGGAGGCAGCAGGGGGGAAUAUUGCACAAUGGGCGCAAGCCUGAUGCAGCGACGCCGCGUGGGGGAUGACGGCCUUCGGGUUGUAAACUCCUUUCGCUAGGGACGAAGCGUUAUGUGACGGUACCUAGAGAAGAAGCACCGGCUAACUACGUG
rnacentral:rRNA from 1 species